rnacentral:rRNA from 1 species
GAUGAACGCUAGCGGCAGGCUUAACACAUGCAAGUCGAGGGGUAUAGUUCUUCGGAACUAGAGACCGGCGCACGGGUGCGUAACGCGUAUGCAAUCUACCUUUUGCAGAGGGAUAGCCCAGAGAAAUUUGGAUUAAUACCUCAUAGUAUGUGAGAAUGGCAUCAUUUUCACAUUAAAGUCACAACGGCAAAAGAUGAGCAUGCGUCCCAUUAGCUAGUUGGUAAGGUAACGGCUUACCAAGGCAACGAUGGGUAGGGGUCCUGAGAGGGAGAUCCCCCCCACAGGAACUGAGGACCGGACCAGGCUCCUGCGGGAGGCAGAAGUGAGGAAUUUUGGACAAUGGGCGCAAGCCUGAUCCAGCCAUGCCGCGUGCAGGAUGACGGUCCUAUGGAUUGUAAACUGCUUUUGUACAGGAAGAAACACUGGUUCGUGAACCAGCUUGACGGUACUGUAAGAAUAAGGAUCGGCUAACUCCGUGCCAGCCGCCGCCGUAACAC